UGAGGAAUAUUGGUCAAUGGCGGGAGCCUGAACCAGCCAAGCCGCGUGAGGGAAGAAGGUACAGCGUAUCGUAAACCUCUUUUGUCAGGGAACAAAGGCGGGACUAGUCCCGGAUGAGGGUACCUGAAGAAAAAGCAUCGGCUAACUCCGUCGCC
rnacentral:rRNA from 1 species